ACGCGCGUCCCGCCCGACCGUCGGGCGACUCAGAUGAAGGAAAUUGUGCCCUGUGACUUUCCGUACCCGGGCUUGCGUUGGUUCCCCCUUCCCUUUUCGACAGGGCGCGGACACUUGAGCCGGAAGCACAACUUUUUAACGGUUCUCUGGCGUUCUUGAAGCGAAAUCGGCACGGUUGAGGCCUCGGAGACUCGAGACGGCCAGCCACAACCCCUUUUUUACGUGAGCGCCUGAACAAAUAACGCUGCCUCUGACCUCCCUCUCGCGUGACUUUCGGCUGACACGUGAGAAAGUGUUUCGGAGGGUACAAAGCUGUGCAAAUGAUAGGGCUGCCAUUAAGGAUCCUGCAGGACCCAGUUCUGCGGCGUCGAACCCCUAUGUUCGCAGAGAUGGAAUGAGCGCACCAAAAGAAUGAGAGGCGAAAGAGCAAGCCACACCUAGAUACCAUUGCUUACAAAAAGAAACCAGGGACUCUUGGAGAAAUGGCUGGUUCCAGGUUUGGAGCUGGGAACCUACAAG